CCCUAGUUACGGCCGAGUGUACACUACAGACCCGUACCACGGUUUAAAUCCAGCCGCCGCUGCUUAUGGAGUCGGAGCAAUGGACAUUGCACUCACAUUGCAAGCCAGUUUAUACCGGGCAGGAUACAGUAGGUUUGCUCCGUACUAAAAAAAAAAAAAAAAAAAACACAAAUCACAUCCGAGGAAUUUCACAUCGCUCCCAAAAAAAACCUUUUUUCCAGCCCUUUGUUUGGCAGCAGCUCCCCUCCACUCUCCUGCAGGCGGACAAUAGUGACAACUCAUGUUUCUUUUUUUGUCAUUUUGUGGCGACAGAGGUCAUUGUGCCACAUCAUCAAACUCUCUGUCUCUGCCACGAAAAAAAAAAAAAACAACCCUGCGACUUUGAACUACAGGGGCGUGAUUUCGGAUUUUUUUUUUUACUACACUACGGGACCUGGAAGGAGUGAGACUUCACAUCCUUGUCCCUCUCUGACAGUAUAUCCACCGCCCUAUAGGAGCUCAUAUAUCCACACUUUAAGCAUACGGUAUCCUCUACAUUUCAAAAAGACGCUACUCUAAAAGGUACUCGAAAAUGUAGGAAUUAUUAUGAUUUUUUUGUGCAUUUAUCCGGAAGGACCUGGGAGCAUUUGACUGACAGAAACCACUCUACACGGCAUGGGAAUUUAUCGUUUUAGCUCACUACUUUCCCCUUGAAUUUACAAUCAUGUUAAGAAAACGACAAGGAAAAAGACGAUAAAAAUGACUUUUAUUUUCUGCAUUACCUCACUCUUCUUUGACUUAUUUUUGCUGCCAUUUGAUAAGUAUAUAAAACAGCCACAGAGACAUCCUGUUCUACUCAUUUAACCAACAACACUAAGACGGGAUCCUGUAUCUCCGUCCUUUUUUCCCCGCCUCUUCUCUAAAGGCUCGUCCUCGAUUUUCUCCUCGUAGCGCUUCUUCUUAAAAAAAAAAAAAAAAAACCCAUCAUGAAACAUUCCUGCAAA